ACGGAAGGCAGCAGUGGGGAAUAUUGGACAAUGGGGGCAACCCUGAUCCAGCGACGCCGCGUGAGUGAAGAAGUAAUUCGUUAUGUAAAGCUCUAUCAGCAGGGACGAUAAUGACGGUACCUGACUAAGAAGCUCCGGCUAAAUACGUGCCAGCAGCCGCGGUAAUACGUAUGGAGCAAGCGUUAUCCGGAUUUACUGGGGGUAAAGGGAGCGUAGACGGCUUUGCAAGUCUGAAGUGAAAGCCCGGGGCUCAACCCCGGAACUGCUUUGGAAACUGUAGAGCUAGAGUACAGGAGAGGUAAGCGGAAUUCCUAGUGUAGCGGUGAAAUGCGUAGAUAUUAGGAGGUACACCAGUGGCGAAGGCGGCUUACUGGACUGUAACUGACGUUGAGGCUCGAAAGCGUGGGGAGCAAACAGGAUUAGAUACCCUGGUA
rnacentral:rRNA from 1 species